rnacentral:sRNA from 1 species
GUCAUCACAGAGCUUCGCCUUUGCUCCCUCUUCCUGUGCCAUCCCCAAGCCCGAGACCACCUCCUCCCUGCCCCUGGCAUCCAGUCUAACCUGCCUCUUCCUGAUCCACCUGGGGUAGAUGUUGCCUCCUACAUUUGGUGACCUGCUGAUGGAGGAGUACAUUGGGGACAAUGGGGAUCCCCAGACCCUCCAAGCCCAGUUCCAAGAGAUGAUGGCAGACUACAUGUUUGUGAUCCCUGCACUCCAAGUAGCACAUUUUCAGUGUGAGUAUAUUUGGACCAAAGCCUGGCUGGCAGGGUAUAGCUCAGGGCUGUGGGUCCCAGGUGAGACCUGCUGCUGUCCAGGUCCGCAAUCAUGUUUAUUGGGCUCCGGGGACACUUGAUGUCCAUCAUUGCAGUAAAUCCUCAUGGCUAGCCCAAGAAUCCGACAUUUCCCCCAUUUCACAGACGAGUAAAUUGAAGUUAGGGACCUUCAGUGACUUGCCCAAGAUGACACAGCUAAGAAUCGCAAGUCCCUUCCUCUGUUCCUGCCCCAGCCUGGGGCUCCACACCCCACUGUCCAGAUUCCAGCCAGCUUUGGACCUAGGUAUCUUAUCACCAUGGGUGAGGCAAGAAGUCUUCAGGGGAGGGACCACCGUGUCAUGGGCUGUCCACCCCACAGGUUCCCGGGCCCCUGUGUACUUCUACGAGUUCCAGCAUCAGCCCAGCUGGCUCAAGAACAUCAGGCCACCGCACAUGAAAGCAGACCAUGUUAAAUUCACUGAGGAAGAGGAGCAGCUAAGCAGGAAGAUGAUGAAGUACUGGGCCAACUUUGCGCGAAAUGGGUGAGACA